ACCGAGAUUCCCCCAGUAGCGGCGAGCGAACGGGGAGCAGCCCGGAGUCUGAAUCAGCUUGUGUGUUAGUGGAACGGUCUGGAAAGUCCGACGGUACAGGGUGAUAGUCCCGUACACGAAAGCACACAUGCUGUGAACUCGAAGAGUAGGGCGGGACACGUGGUAUCCUGUCUGAAUAUGGGGGGACCAUCCUCCAAGGCUAAAUACUCCUGACUGACCGAUAGUGAACCAGUACCGUGAGGGAAAGGCGA
rnacentral:rRNA from 1 species